rnacentral:lncRNA from 1 species
CAGAUCUUGGAACUUACUUUUCACCAGUGUGAGUACCUGUCCUGUGUCCAGUGUGGAAAUCGGCCUUGUACUAUAAUCUCAUAGCAAACAGACUCUGCAGUCUGAUUGCACAGAUAUUAGGGGUUUAUGAUAAUCACAUGUGUUAUUCCUCCACCCUCUACCUACUUGGGCCUUUGCUGUUUCCAGGUAUCCAACAUAUGCCUGUCCUACAAAACCUUCUCAGAUGAAAGCGAUCUAGAAGCCAUUCUCGCCGACAUUAAGCAGUAGAAUCCCCCCUUUGGUGAGCCUCCAUGUUUGUGGAACUCUUCCAUGACCCUUGUCAUAUUCUGCAUGAACUAAUGAAGCAGUGGAGAGAGGCCAGAAGAAUUCUUCUCCAUGAACACAUAAGUGAAGAAAAGAGGAGACUACAUUCUCCACAACUAACCCCAGUUAAGUAAGAGUUUCUGAUUUUAACAGGGAUAAAAAAUGUAAAUGCAGAUAUACAUUUAUGUAUGCCAAAAGAACCCAUCUUUAGAAAUUUGCUGAGUCAGUUGGAACAUUCCCUUUUAUUUUCUGUCUUUAGCAGUGGAAACGGACAUUCCUUUGACAGCUGGCACACUGUCGAGCUUUGUCUGAAUUAAGUAGUAGAGGUACACAGGGAGAGAAAGAAAACUCCAGGAGUUGAAUACAUUUUCCUCAUGGCCAGGAUCCAGGAG